UAAUAUAGCUAGGAGUUUGUUUUUGGAUUGAUUAGUGUCAUGAAAAAACCUAGCAGUCAAUUUAGGCAAAUAGAAUCAACAGAAACAAAUAAAAGGUGAGUUGAAUUCCAAAGGAACCUUAAGCUAAAAACAUGAGAAAUUAUUACAUGCACCAGGUGCAAGUGAACCAGGGCAAAUCUCAGAGCAUAUGCAUGGUGGUAACAC
rnacentral:lncRNA from 1 species